GUGGGGAAUAUUGGGCAAUGGGCGAAAGCCUGACCCAGCAACGCCGCGUGAAGGAAGAAGGUUUUCGGAUCGUAAACUUCUAUCCUUGGUGAAGAUAAUGACGGUAGCCAAGAAGGAAGCCCCGGCUAACUACGUGCCAGCAGCCGCGGUAAUACGUAGGGGGCAAGCGUUGUCCGGAAUGAUUGGGCGUAAAGGGCGCGUAGGCGGCCCGGUAAGUCUGAAGUGAAAGUCCUGCUUUUAAGGUUGGAAUUGCUUUGGAUACUGUCGGGCUUGAGUGCAGGAGAGGUAAGCGGAAUUCCCGGUGUAGCGGUGAAAUGCGUAGAGAGCGGUAGGAACACCAGUGGCGAAGGCCGCGUACUGGACUGUAACUGACGCUGAGGCGCGAAAGUGUGGGGAGCAAACCUGAUUAGAAACCCGGCUAGUCC
rnacentral:rRNA from 1 species